rnacentral:misc_RNA from 1 species
UGGCUCCCAAUCACCACCUCCUUGA